GCCCGGUAGGAACCAAACCUGUGGCAGGGACGGGGGAACCACUUCCGGGCGUCGAAGGCAGACGUCCUUGGGGUGAAGCCGCCACUGGUGGCCGGGCAUUCCCAGCCCGAACCCGACAGCUCACCUCGCAGGCGUGGGGAAGGACAA
rnacentral:sRNA from 1 species